ensembl:lncRNA
GAGUCACAGAAACGCCACAUAAAUAACUAGUUGUCACCUGCGAUUCUCUUCACACAACACAGAUCUGGGAUUCUUUGACUCUUUGCCAUCGCUCUAAACUUCCUGGCCUUUGGUUUUUAGACAAACAGGAAGCUGCUCAUAGACAUCUGCUCGUGGACAGAAGUAUAACCCCUGCUGGACAUGGUGCCGGGGCUCGGGGGGGGACCCGAAUCGUCCCCAUCCCUUCAUUCACACAACACUCACUCAUAUCGCGGAGAUCUGGCUGGGAUCGAACCAGCAACCUCUGAACCGUGAGGCAGCGCUCUUACCUGUGAGCCACAGAUCUCUUGUUUGAGUGUGUGAAGGAACUUAUAUUUCACUGUUCACCUGCAUGUGCUUUUAUAAUAAACCAGUUAAAGCUAUCA